rnacentral:rRNA from 1 species
AAGCUAGUCGGCGGGGUAACGGCCCACCGAGGCGACGAUGUCUAGGGGUUCUGAGAGGAAGGUCCCCCACACUGGAACUGAGACACGGUCCAGACUCCUACGGGAGGCAGCAGUGAGGAAUAUUGGUCAAUGGGCGGAAGCCUGAACCAGCCAUGCCGCGUGAAGGAAUGAGGCCCUAUGGGUCGUAAACUUCUUUUGUGGCGGAGCAAUAAGCGCUACGCGUAGCGCGAUGAGAGUACGUCACGAAUAAGCAUAGGCUAACUCCGUGCCAGCAGCCGCGGUAAUACGGAGGAUGCAAGCGUUAUCCGGAUUUAUUGGGUUUAAAGGGUGCGUAGGCUGUGCCGCAAGUCGGGGGUGAAAGCCCGGGGCCCAACCCCGGAUGUGCCCUUGAUACUGCGGCGCUGGAGUUCGGAUGCCGUGGGAGGAAUGGGCAGUGUAGCGGUGAAAUGCAUAGAUAUUGCCCAGAACACCGAUUGCGAAGGCAUCUCACGAAUCCGACACUGACGCUGAGGCACGAAAGCGUGGGGAUCAAACAGGAUUAGAUACCCUGGUAGUCCACGCAGUAAACGAUGAUGACUAACUGUCGGCGAUAAACAGUCGGUGGCCAAGCGAAAGCGAUAAGUCAUCCACCUGGGGAGUACGUUCGCAAGGAUGAAACUCAAAGGAAUUGACGGGGGCCCGCACAAGCGGAGGAACAUGUGGUUUAAUUCGAAGCAACGCGAAGAACCUUACCAGGUCUGACAUCGUAUGCAUAAUAUAGAGAUAUAUGAAACUCCUUCGGGAGCAUAUAGACAGGUGGUGCAUGGUUGUCGUCAGCUCGUGUCGUGAGAUGUUGGGUUAAGUCCCGCAACGAGCGCAACCCUUGCCAUUAGUUGCUACGGAAGAGCACUCUAAUGGGACUGCCGUUGACAAAACGGAGGAAGGUGGGGACGACGUCAAAUCAUCAUGCCCCUUAUGACCUGGGCUACACACGUACUACAAUGGCGUUUAACAGAGGGAAGCGACACAGUGAUGUGAAGCAGAACCCUAAAAAACGUCUCAGUUCAGAUUGCAGGCUGCAACUCGCCUGCAUGAAGUCGGAAUUGCUAGUAAUCGCGAAUCAGAAUGUCGCGGUGAAUACGUUCCCGGGUCUUGUACACACCGCCCGUCACACCAUGGGAGUCGGUAACACCCGAAGUCAGUCGCUGAACCUUAGGGGUGGCGCUGCCGAAGGUGGGAUUGAUGACUGGGGUGAAGUCGUAACAAGUAACCGUAAAUCGAUUCCCGCGCCGCCAUGCGCCGGAGCAUCACUCGCCCUC